rnacentral:lncRNA from 10 species
AUGAGCCUACGCGCUCCCCAAAUUUAGGAGCCAUUUGAAAUGUCUCUAUCUGGUCUAGCGGUUAAGAGGCUCUAUGCUAAGAGAAUUGGCAACGCCGAACCCCAGACUCAAAUUUCUCCUUAGUUUAAGGGAACGUCUUCAUGGGGAUGUCUUGACUAUCUUUAAGGGAACGUCUAGAAAGUCUCUGCUUCCUGUAGCAUCUCGUAGACCAUGCCUGGGCCAGUCCUGCCUUACCGGAGAGCUCAAGGCUUAAAAUCAAUGUCCAUGUGCAACCGUGACAAAUGGAACAAGAGGGUGCAUCAUGCUAGCUUAUGAUCACAAUGACACAUUUAACGAAAACUUCAGUAAAUAGAGCCCAUGGAUGAAAUAAUAGAGGAUUAGCCUGGGACAGGAUACCAUCCUCGCCCCAACAAGGAGAAAAAGAAUUCCAGCUUUUCCAAAUCACUUUGAAUUAGUGAUAGCUAGAAAACUCAGAGAAUAUGUACAGAAUUGAAAGAAGAAAAAAAUUAGCCAGAACUCUACUUCCUGAAGAGGAUGAGGCAAGCAGAAGAAGAAAUUUGCGUCUUAAUGGAAAACGAAGCACAUUUAGAAAGCCAUGUUACUUGAUUCCAACCCUGUUCCUUAUCUUUGAGGUAUUUUACACCUCUUUGAAAACUGUAGGUAAUCGAUGCAAGUUAUGUUCUGUCUGGUGGAAGUUGGUUGACUUCCCACAAUCCCCACUAGAGAAAAUGCAGUUUUGACUGCAUUUCUCCAUUUACAUAAUCAUUUCAAUAUUCCUGAUCUGAAAAUAUGUCUGUUUCUCAGAUUCUCUCUCUCUCUCUCUUUUUUUUUUUAAUUUUGAGACAGGGUCUCACUCUGCUGUGCAUGCUGGAGUUCAGUGGCGAGAUCUUGGCUCACUGGUUCAAGGAAUUCUCCUGCCUCAGCCUCCCAAGUAACUGGGAUUACAGGUGCACACCACCAAGCCCGACUAAUUUUUGAAUUUUUAGUAGAGAUGGGGGUUUCACCAUGUUGGCCAGGCUGGUCUUAAACUCCUGACCUCAAGUGAUCCACCCGCCUCAGCCUCCCAAAGUGCUGGGAUUACAGGCAUGAGCCACCAUGUCCAGCCCUCAGAUUCUCUUUUGAACCAGUUAUAAUAUCUGCCUGUUUCCUCUUGAAUUAAAUAAAAUCUUUAGCAUGUGCUCAUUUUUAUAUCUGUAUCAGAGUCAUGAUUUUACUUUUAUGUUUUAAGGUUUUCCAGGUCUUUGCAGAAGUCCCUGAUGGAAUCACAUGACUGAGCCAGGAAAACCUCAGGACUGGAGUGCCUCAUGAACUGUUGAAGCCCAGGUGAAUCUUUUCUUGGCUCCCAGGAAUGAGUCCAAAGUGCCAGUAGAAAUUUGCUGGCUUCUCAUUUUUCAGUAAUUUCCCCAUUUACCAAUCCUGUGUUUUACUUUGGUUUGCAUUUGUUUACAUUGCUAGCAUCACUGAUUGGGACUUUGUUUGUUUUUGUUGUUUCAAGGCAAAGUCUCACUCUGCCGCCCAGGCUGGAGUGCAGGGGUACGAUCUCGGCUCACUGCAACUUCUGCCUCCCAAGUUCAAGUGAUUCUCCUGCCUCAACCUCCUGAGUAGCUGGGACUAUAGGUGCAUGCCACCAUGCCCGACUAAUUUUUGUAUUUUUAGUAGAGACGGGGUUUUUCCAUGUUGGCCAGACUGGUCUCGAACUCCUGACCUCAGGUGGUAGACUCGCCUCAGCUUCCCAAAGUGGUGGGAUUACAGGCGUGAAGCACCGCGCUGGGCUAGGAAUUUGGUUUUAUGGUCUGAUCACAUGGUGAUCUCUGUAAUGAGAUUAAUGUUUGCAAAGACCUAAUCUCUGUUGGGUGAGAGACAUCAGAGUCUGAUUUGUUAUUCUAUUUCUCUGUCUAUUUUGAGCUGAAAUCAAUUAAGAAUUUCAUGCCCACUGGGAGGAGAAGAGCUCUUUCAUAUCUGGAAGGGUGACUGAAAAGUACCAGGAGAACCCAGACGUGCCUGCUUCCACUUCGCCUUCUGCCAUGACUGUCCGUUUCCUGAGGCCUCCCCAGCCAUGCUUCCUGUACGGCCUGCAGAACUGUGAGUCAAUUAAACCUCUUUUCUUCAUAAAUU